rnacentral:rRNA from 1 species
AGAGUUAAAAAGUACGUGAAAUUGUUAAAAGGGAAACGCUUGAAAGCCAGUGACUUUUGAUAAUGGCCUGGGGAAUCAGUUGGUGGGGAGGGGGUUCCUUCUUCCUGCCGAUGCACUUACCCAGGUACAAGGCCAACAUCAGUUCGGACUGGGACACACACGUAGCGGGAAGGUGGCUUGUAGCUUCGGCUGCAAGUGUUAUAGCCCGUUGCGAAUGUUCCGGGCUGGACUGAGGUGUCGCAGGUUGUGCUUUCGGGCUAGUUCCCUGGUUAAUGGUAUAGCGGUUUUCUUCUACUUGCAAAAGUAAGUUGUUGAAAGCUACGCGGUGCCAUUAGUCCAGGUGUAUCAUAAACAACCUUCGGAUGUUGGCGAAAUGGUGUUAUCUGACC